rnacentral:rRNA from 1 species
GACGAACCGUGCGAACGUUGUUCGGAAUCACUGGGCUUAAAGGGCGCGUAGGCGGCUCUGUUGGUCGUGGGUGAAAUCCCCCAGCUUAACUGGGGAACUGCCUACGAUACCGUGGAGCUCGAGGGAGGAAGGGGCGGUCGGAACUGUCGGUGGAGCGGUGAAAUGCGUUGAUAUCGACAGGAACGCCGGUGGCGAAAGCGGACCGCUGGCCCUCUUCUGACGCUGAGGCGCGAAAGCCAGGGGAGCGAACGGG